rnacentral:rRNA from 1 species
UACGGAGGGUGCAAGCGUUAUCCGGAUUCACUGGGCGUAAAGCGUGCGCAGGCGGUUUUGUAAGUCUGUCGUGAAAUCCCCGGGCUCAACCUGGGAAUUGCGAUGGAGACUGCAAGGCUAGAGUUUGGCAGAGGGGGGUAGAAUUCCACGUGUAGCAGUGAAAUGCGUAGAGAUGUGGAGGAACACCGAUGGCGAAGGCAGCCCCCUGGGUCAAAACUGACGCUCAUGCACGAAAGCGUGGGGAGCAAACAGG